AAUUGCCCCAUCUAACUACAAAUUCCAGAAUUCAUUAAGGUAGAACUAUGGCAGCAAGAGUAGGAUCAAAAUACCAUACUUUGUACACACACCAGGAGAACAUGUCUUUUAUGAAGAAGUAGAAGCAUUUUUUCAUGUUUAUUUUUUCUCUAUCUUAUGUAACCACCACAGAGCUUCUUGAAAACUUGUUCCAUGGUUUAAGACUGGAAUUCCCACUUGAUAAGUUCUCCAGUCCACCCACAUUUUUAAUUAAUCAAAAAUUGGGACUUCUCGUGAAGAAAUGGGGUUGUGAACAGUUUCUCAGAGAGUGGGCUGAAACACUGGGAUUUCCCUGGGUAUUUAUUAAUCACAUGGAGUUGAGAAAUGCUUUGUCAGAAAGAAAAAGGACAAAUGCAAACCCCUCAAGACUCAAAGGAUCUCACCUUCUCCACUGAAACAGGAGAAGAGGAGAGAGAAGGGGGAGACAUUGCAUACUCUAGUGACAUUGUCAUGCAAACAGAUGCAGACAAAAGCAGCUCCAAUUCACUUCUUAAAAUACUAUUUUAAAACAAGGCUGAAAAACGAAAAUAUGCUCUCAAAUCUGCUGUAAGUUCACCAACUUUGUCAACAAAAAACAUGUCUGAGAGAUAAAUUGCAUUUUCCUUUUCUCAAUUGGAAAUUGUAGAGAUAGAAAAAAUGGAUUAUAAAAUCUAAUUAGAGGAACUAUUCUUCAAGAAUUUUCUAAAUCUGCCUGAUAAAACUAUCUGGUGAGACUAAUUACAAAGGGUGAAAGUGAAUUCAUUUGUUAAAGAUUAUGCUAUAAGAACUGUGGGAAUUAAAAUUAUUUAACAUACCUAAGAACUCAAUAGCCAUAACAUUUUGGGAGCACAUGGAGCCUUUGGACUAAGUCCAAACAGCAAAUAAGACAGGAAGUGACCAUAGGGCAGGAGGAGAUGGCAACCUCAAUAGAUCCUAGAUAAAGAAGACAUUCAACUACAGCAACAGGCCACUCCAUGUGACGAAGAUUAAUUGGACUAUUUCAAGAAUGAGGAUCCUGAGGAUACUUUAUUUAAACAUAAAUGGACUAAACUAACCAAACAAGAGGAAAAGAGCUUUUCAUCGCUUUUCAUUAUUUGCAAUUACCGGAAACAAAAAGAAAUCUGCAAGUUUAUGCAAUUGACAGACACCCCCCCCCCAAACUUAAAGAAGGAAUCUAAUACUGUAAUAGAAAUUGAGUGCGCUUAUACAAUUGCCAAAUUCUUCUAAAUUUGAAAAAGAAUAGCAGCCUUUUAUUAACUUUAAAAAAAGAAAAGAAAAUGAAAAAAUAAGGUUUUCUAUAGCACCAAGGGUAAAUUAGUAGUACACAGUUGUAGGAAAUGGAAUAACAAAAAGAAAGAAAGAAAAAAUAAAGAUGUCUGUGACAAGAACAACAGGAUCCUCAGUUGCAUCCAAGGGAUCCUGGAAAGUUAAUCUACCAGAGAUAAGAAGUUUGUAUGACAAAAAGAAUAGAUUUUUUGACUAUGAAGAGGACAGCAAAGACAAGAUAGGAAGCAUUAUUUAGGGAUUUCUAUUUUCCAUUCUUAACUUUUCUGUCUCCUUUGUUUCAAAACACUGUAUACCCACUCUUGUAUUCUUGUGUUUUAGAUUAGAAAUGUUCUUUUUUAAUUUCUCUUUUCUUUUUUAACAUCAUAGAAACCUUUUUAGUGUUAGCAAUGGAAGAAGACAAAAAUGUAAGAUGUUAAAAAUGCCUCCAUUCUAUAUCCACUCUUGUACCCCUCCCCAUUCCUCAUACAUUUGCAAUAAAAUUAUAUGGGGAAAAAUUGGGAGGGUGACCUGUUACCAAGCAACACUAUGGACUCUAGCGCCAUCUGUAUUUAUCAUAAUACUUCUGGUUUCAACAUUUGCUUCUGAGGCCUUCUUAGAUAAUAAAUAUAUAGGACAGCCGCAGCACAGAGUCUCAUUCUGAAGCAUAUCCAAAGAGAAAAUAUAGGAAGGCUCCCGAAGGAUAGGGGUUUUGAAGACAAUUGUGGAGGUCUAGAGGAGUGUUGUAUUCACAUGUCAGUGAAACAAUGAUUCCACUUUUGAAUAAGUCUAUAUUUUAAAGAAACUAUCCAAGGUGUUAGACCUAUUUUGGGAAUCUUGAAUAGUUCCUUAAGAUGUAUGAAAUGUCCUUAAGUAGGGGUUAGGAUCUAAACCAUGCGUACUCAAUUAUUAUGGUUCAUAUCAACAGAAUAGUAUUCAUGGAACUCACAUGACAAAAACAUUUCUCCUUAUUUUGCUUCUUUACAAUAUAUACUGAGCCAAGGAAUGCACUCAUUAAGCUAUCACUGGAUAUUUUGGUCCUAGCUGAUGAGUGAGUUAAAACAAUUUUCAUCAAACUGAGAGAAAAUAGUUAUAUCCAAAGAAACAAGAUUCUAUGUAGUCACGCAGCAACUGAGAACAAAAUUUAUUGAAGCACACAUUGUAGAUUGUCACACUGUGCAUAUAUCUUUUUGAUGACGAAGACAUGAUUUUAAACAUAUGGCAUGGCUGGAUGAAUUAUGCUCACUUUGGGCAUGGUAAAGCUUUAGCUAAUCCAUUAUUAUUUUUAUUUAUUUAACUGCAGUGAUGAUGAAGCCUUGUUAUAACAUAAUUAAUUCACUGUCUCUGUCCAAUUUAACCAAAAAAGAGAUUUCUCAUUGGUACAUGUUCUUUACUACUUCUAAUAUGAAUAGUAUUAGCAACAAUAGUAAACAAUAAUAACAAUCAUCACAAUUAUCACCAUCAUCUCUUAAAUUUAGAAGUGUUUACCUGUUGUUAUUGUUGCUAUUACUUCUAUUGUUCACUUAUCAAGUUACUAAAUGUUUUGCUGGGACAAAACCUCUCCUUAAAAUUUUGAGAUGCCAAAUCAGAGAAGAGGUGGUAGAAGAUAUUUCCCUUUCCCAUAAACAUGUGUGGCAUUACUCUACACUUCAGAACCAAAAGAAAACAUUAUUUUUUGCGCUGAACUUAAUGGUGAUAUGUUUCUUUCAUUUUAUUUUGCCUAACUGCUUUCAUUUUCUUUCAUGUAGAAUAUCCUCGUCCUCUGGUCCAUCAGCUGUAGUGGGCACCAGCUACCAUUAAUAGGACAAAGGUGGAACAAAAGGGGAAAGUAACAGAUGGAGGAAAUUUACACUGAAUUUCCCUGAGAAACAUCUGCAAGCGUCACAAAUGACCAUAUUCUCAGGAGAAGGUAAAGUCCUACUCACAAAAAGUCUUGGGGAAAAGCAUCAUGACAAUUAAAUCUAAAUAAAUUAUUUUCCAUCUGUACCUGGAAAAACCACAUGGACAAGAAAAUCCUUUGUGCAUUGGAAAAAGAGGAAGCAUCACUCUGUCCAAGACAGUCAAUGGACUUAAGAAAACUCCAUUAUCAUCAAGAACCAGUUCUCUGUAGACACACCGCUGGAUCCUGGAAGCUGUUCCUAAGUCAUAUGUAAGAUUGCUUUGGGGACAAUUUUAAAAUUGGAUCUGGAGACAAACUCAUAGCUGUGAAGAGUCCUGUGUAUUGACUCUGUGACCUAGAGAAGCAUUUCCAUCUUGAGCUCACUUUGACUCGCUAUUGAUGGAUAGCUGGCUGCAGAAUGGACUCUGUUGUAUUGGCAGCCAUUCCUCUCCAGUGGGUGGAAAGGAGGGGGCUCACGUGGGUGUACUGGAAAGCUGUUUCUUAGUUCUAAGAAAUUGGAUUAAGGGUCAGAAGAUCCUGGCUGUUAUUUACCUUUUGAUUAAAACCAGCCCACCUCCCUCUUGAGCCCAAAGAAAAAGACAGCGUUGCUUGUUAUUUACUUGGCUGCCAAGUUUGAAGCUCAAUCUCUGGCUUGCAAGUGUUCAGCAUCAACUCUAGCCAAACAGAGAGAGGUGGAGGGAGGAAACCAAAGCAUUCAGUCUGGCUUUUGUGUUCUGUUUUGUUUUGGAAGCAAGAUCUCCUGCCAACUCUUGCAAUCAGGUCAGGAAUGGUUGCCUUGGUGGCCAUGACCCAGAAGACCUCAGCAGGGCACUGCCCCAAACCCAGGCAAUAAUCUACUUCUAAUGAUGGCUGGCAUUCGGCACUUGUCAGCACUGUGCCCCCAAAGUAGAUUUGCGCCAGCCAUGGGGGGGGGGGGGGGCAAAUGCCCUGAAGUUUAAGCUGUACAUUUCCAGAAGGAAAGAACAAGUUGGGCUUUUUCUUUUCUUUUCCAUUUUAAGAAACACCUGGGGAAAAUGUGUUGUCAAAGGCUUUCAUGGCCGGGAUCACAGGGUUGUUGUAUGUUUUUCGGGCUGUUUGGCCAUGUUCCAGAAGUAUUCCCAGUCAUGUUAAAAAAUAUAUAUAUCGUGAUCUUG